GUGUGAAAAACUCCGGUGGUAUAAGAUGGACCCGCGUUGGAUUAGCUAGUUGGUGAGGUAACGGCCCACCAAGGCGACGAUCCAUAGCCGACCUGAGAGGGUGACCGGCCACAUUGGGACUGAGACACGGCCCAAACUCCUACGGGAGGCAGCAGUGGGGAAUAUUGCACAAUGGGCGAAAGCCUGAUGCAGCGACGCCGCGUGAGCGAAGAAGUAUUUCGGUAUGUAAAGCUCUAUCAGCAGGGAAGAUAAUGACGGUACCUGACUAAGAAGCACCGGCUAAAUACGUGCCAGCAGCCGCGGUAAUACGUAUGGUGCAAGCGUUAUCCGGAUUUACUGGGUGUAAAGGGAGCGCAGGCGGUGCGGCAAGUCUGAUGUGAAAGCCCGGGGCUCAACCCCGGUACUGCAUUGGAAACUGUCGUACUAGAGUGUCGGAGGGGUAAGCGGAAUUCCUAGUGUAGCGGUGAAAUGCGUAGAUAUUAGGAGGAACACCAGUGGCGAAGGCGGCUUACUGGACGAUAACUGACGCUGAGGCUCGAAAGCGUGAGGAGCAAAC
rnacentral:rRNA from 1 species